UUGCAAUUAAAACGUCUAACACUUUUGAAUAAUUUUAAUAGCCUGCAUUUUAUGGUUCUACUUUCCAAUUUACAGUUGCACAUGACUGAAUUAAAAUGCAUUAUUUCGUAAUCAAUGCACCGAUCUAUCAGGAACUUAUUUUGUGUUUGAUUAAUCGUUUACACUUCAUGUUAUCAGCUUGGAAAUAACAUUCUAUCAGCCCUAUACAUUCAUUUAACAAGGAUAACCACUUAAUAAACUUGUCACAAAAAUAAGCAUUUAUGUCAAUGGUCCUGAUAGUGUAAAUAUUGAUUUGGUCCUGGCCCAUGUUAAUGUAAUGCAAUAAGAAUAGCUAUAUCAC
rnacentral:lncRNA from 1 species